rnacentral:rRNA from 1 species
GUGCCAGCAGCGCGGUACUACCGGCAGCCCGAGUGAUGGCCGAUCUUCUUGGGCCUCAAGCGUCCGUAGCUGGCCGCGCCAGUCCGUCGGGAAAUCCACUCGCCCAACGAGUGGGCGUCCGACGGAACCUGCACAGCUUGGGACCGGAAGGCUCGAAGGGUACGUUCGGGGUAGGAGUGAAAUCCCAUAAUCCCGCACGGACCACCGAUGGCGAAAGCACUUCGAGAAAACGGAUCCGACAGUGAGGGACGAAAGCCAGGGUCUCCAACCGGAUUAGAAACCCUAGUAGUCC